CAGCCGCCGCGGUAAUACAGAGGGGGCUAGCGUUGUUCGGAAUUACUGGGCGUAAAGCGCACGUAGGCGGCUUUGUAAGUUAGAGGUGAAAGCCCGGAGCUCAACUCCGGAAUUGCCUUUAAGACUGCAGAGCUAGCAGGUGAGAGAGGUGAGUGGAAUUCCGAGUGUAGAGGUGAAAUUCGUAGAUAUUCGGAAGAACACCAGUGGCGAAGGCGGCUCACUGGCUCAUACUGGACGCUGAGGUGCGAAAGCGUGGGGAGCAAACAGGAUUAGAUACCCCCGUAGUCCCUGUCUCUUAUAA
rnacentral:rRNA from 1 species